GAUGAACGCUAGCGGCAGGCUUAACACAUGCAAGUCGAGGGGUAUAGGUUUUCGGACCUAGAGACCGGCGCACGGGUGCGUAACGCGUAUGCAAUCUACCUUUCACAGAGGGAUAGCCCAGAGAAAUUUGGAUUAAUACCCCAUAGUAUAGCAGUUUCGCAUGAAACCACUAUUAAAGUAUCAACGGUGAAAGAUGAGCAUGCGUCCCAUUAGCUAGAUGGUAAGGUAACGGCUUACCAUGGCUACGAUGGGUAGGGGUCCGGAGAGGGAGAUCCCCCACACUGGUACUGAGACACGGACCAGACUCCUACGGGAGGCAGCAGUGAGGAAUAUUGGUCAAUGGACGCAAGUCUGAACCAGCCAUGCCGCGUGCAGGAUGACGGUCCUAUGGAUUGUAAACUGCUUUUGUACGAGAAGAAACAACAUUACGUGUAAUGUCUUGACGGUAUCGUAAGAAUAAGGAUCGGCUAACUCCGUGCCAGCAGCCGCCGUAACAC
rnacentral:rRNA from 1 species